CCUACGGGGGCAGCAGUGGGGAAUAUUUCACAAUGGGGGAAACCCUGAUGCAGCAACGCCGCGUGAGUGAAGAAGUAUUUCGGGAUGUAAAGCUCUAUCAGCAGGGAAGAAGAUGACGGUACCUGAAUAAGAAGCCCCGUCUAACUACGUGCCAGCAGCGGCGGGAAUACGUAGGGGGCAAGCGUGAUGCGGAUUUACUGGGUGUAAAGGGAGCGCAGACGGCAGUGCAAGUCUGGGGUGAAAGCCCGGGGCUCAACCCCGGAACUGCUCUUGAAACUGUGCGGCUAGAGUACUGGAGGGGCAGGCGGAAUUCCUGGUGUAGCGGCGAAAUGCGUAGAUAUUAGGAGGAACACCAGUGGCGAAGGCGAUCUGCUGGACAGUAACUGACGUUGAGGCUCGAAAGCGUGGGGAGCAAACAGGAUUAGAUACCCCAGUAGUC
rnacentral:rRNA from 1 species